rnacentral:rRNA from 1 species
ACGGGGGGUGCAAGCGUUGUUCGGAUUUAUUGGGCGUAAAGCGCGUGUAGGCGGUUUUAUAAGUCUGAUGUGAAAGCCCUGGGCUCAACCCGGGAAGUGCAUUGGAUACUGUAAGACUUGAAUACGGGAGAGGGCAGUGGAAUUCCUAGUGUAGGAGUGAAAUCCGUAGAUAUUAGGAGGAACACCGGUGGCGAAGGCGGCUGCCUGGACCGAUAUUGACGCUGAGACGCGAAAGCGUGGGUAGCAAACAGGAUUAGAUACCCUGGUAGUCCACGCCGUAAACGAUGAGAACUAGGUGUUGCGGGUAUUGACCCCUGCAGUGCCGUAGCUAACGCAUUAAGUUCUCCGCCUGGGAAGUACGGUCGCAAGACUA